GAAGAGGUCUUCUGCGAGAUUACAGAGAGAAGAAAAAGGAUGUGAGAGGUCUUCUGUGAGAGACAUGCACAGAAAGAAGAAUAGGGAAAUUCACAUCGCGAGACUGAUCAGAGAGAGAAGGAGAAGAGGGAGACAAGAAGAAGAAGAAGAAGAAGAGGAAUCUGGGUAAUUGGAUUGCCCGACGUAGAGAGAAAGAGAAGUGCGCCGAUCAGGUCUUCCACAAGCGGAAGGAGUUUCUAGGUCUUUUACUUUUCCACUUCUACCAUAAGCCUGUACGAUUAUUUCUGUCUUCUUCGAUGAUGAUUGCUUUAAAUUAUCGGUGUGACAUCAUUGAGGUGAUGCUAACUUUAUGUUCUUUGGGGACCUUGAAGAGAAUAUUAUUUUAGCUGGGUAAAGGGAACCCAAUCAUAGCAAGUGUUUAUUUCUUCGUUAGCUACCAUUUGAUUGGAUCCAGUGGAUUACUAUUUGAUAGAAAGCGCAAGGAUUCCUCCGCUGGUAAAUUUUUGCCAUCAACAAUGUUUGAUUUUUCAGAGACCUAUCUUUUUAGGUUCGAUUAGGUAAAGAUUUGAUUUCAAAACUACUUAUCUGUUCCCAACAGUCUGAUUUGUAAAGGAGGCAUUCAAUUUUAGCAGCUGGGUUGUCAUAAAGUUAUGUAGGCAUUCCAAUGAUUAUUUUCAUUGGUAUAUAUAGCACCAAGUACAGCAAA